rnacentral:rRNA from 1 species
CUACGGGAGGCAGCAGUGGGGAAGAUUGGACAAUGGGCGCAAGCCUGAUCCAUUCCGCGUGAGUGAAGAAGGCCUUCGGGUUGUAAAGCUCUUUCACCGGUGAAGAAACGGUGCGCUCUAACAUAGCGUGCUAAUGACGGUAAC